UGGGGAAUUUUGCACAAUGGAGGAAACUCUGAUGCAGCGACGCCGCGUGAGUGAUGAAGAUCUUCGGAUUGUAAAACUCUGUCCUUAGUGAAGAUAAUGACAGUAACUAAGAAGCAAGCCCUGGCUAAAUACGUGCCAGCAGCCGCGGUAAUACAUAUGGGGCAAGCGUUGUCCGGAAUUAUUGGGCGUAAAGGGUACGUAGGCGGUUUAAUAAGUCCUAAUUAAAAGGCUAUGGCUCAACCAUAGUAUGGUUAGGAAACUGUUGAACUUGAGUAGAUGAGGGGAAAGUGGAAUUCCAUGUGUAGCGGUGAAAUGCGUAGAUAUAUGGAGGAACACCAAUGGCGAAGGCAACUUUCUGGAAUCAAACUGACGCUGAGGUACGAAGGCGUGGGGAGCAAACAGG
rnacentral:rRNA from 1 species